GAGCGACCUAACCUGAGGCUUGUCUGAUAACAGCGGAAAGGAGCAUACUAGAUGUAUAGGAUAUUCCACCUGCACGAGUAUACAGGAGAGCUAUGGCAGUAUACCUGGUGCAGAGGCGGACUGGCAAUGCGGUGCCUGUUAUCUUCUUCGUUCAGACAGUAGACUUGGUGCGCUGGGCUUCAGGAGCACACUGAUGUCACUGUUGCUGCUUUCCGGAGCGUGCUCGCAGUGGUACCUAGCGGAGAAACAGCAGCAGGGACCUUUUGAGGUGGUCCCUGCUAUCAAGUGAUUUCUGUAACUCUUGACUUCUCCACUUGUCUACAGUGGAAACUUCUUGACUAUGCAGCAACAUUAUGUGAAGUUGUGACCUGUCAGAGACGCACAGCAAGAUAUGCAAAGUUAAUGGUUCCCAUGAAGACACUGGAUGUGUAACAGAUACUAUCUAUUAUCAAGCAUUUCCAUCAAUGUCUUCCCUCCAGCUCUAUGAUGUCUGUAGAGAAGCAGAAACAGGACUGCUCGGCAAUAUUGAGGCCAUUCUAAACCCUCAGUUCUGUGGAGAACAGAAGAGAUUUCAUUUAAAAGGAUACGUAACGGAGAGCUGACAGACACUUGUUGCUGCUGAAGAAAACCUUCACAUUGUUGCAGAAGCCAGUGCAGAUGACAAACUUCAGUGGUCACAUCAUACAUACUGGCAGCCAGCAUAUUGGCCAGCCACCAGAGCAUCUACACUGGAUGGAUGGGGGAAAGCAGACAUGAAAGAAACUUCAAGAGUUCAUGGUCUAGAAGAAAAAAAAAAAAAGUACAGCAAUAAGUUAUUCCUUACACCAAUACAUGUUACUUAC